rnacentral:lncRNA from 1 species
UAGUGGUUCCGUCAGAACCCCGGGGGCCUCAUCCAUCUGUUUUACAUUCCUUCAGGGACAAAGGAAGAUGGAAGAUUAAACACCAUGACAGUACCCACAGAACACCGAAGCUCACUGCAUGUUUCCUCUUCACAGACCACAGACUCAGGCCCUUGCUUCUGUGCUGUGCAGCGUAGUGCUCCCCAAGCACCUGCAGCCCUGCAGCCUGUACUCAUACCCUCCGCGGGGCUCAGCCCGUCCUCCAGCCACAGUCACACCAUGACGCCGUUACCAGGAUCUUGUGUGGCGCAGAGAGUUAUUCAAGACCAGCCAGACAUAUCCGGUCAACUGGGACAGUCUGUCACCCUGAACUGUCAGUAUGCAACAAGCUGGAGCUAUAACUACCUGUUUUGGUACAAGCUGCUUCCCAAUGGAGAGAUGAUUUACCUUAU